GGGAAUGAUACCAAUAGUUAAGAAGCUGCAAUCUUUGCACUCAGUUGAAGUCUCACGUCUCAGCCAAAGUACCAGAGCUACACAUUGCUCAAUUAUAAAUUGUUUUGGGAUGUUUUCAAACAACAUGGAAGUGGCAAAAUUUAAAAUGGCAGUAAUUCUCACCUCACCACUGGAAGUCAACUCGUUCAUCUUUAUUUUGACUGGGGGUUUAGUGAGAUUUUGAAAUGGAGUUGUCCUCGUGGAAUGCAAACUGAAAACCAGCGAGCAGGUUAUUCAUUAGCCAAAUGCCUGCUUUCUGUGUUGUUGCUGUUCUAAGAUUCUGUGAAGCAGCAGAAGAUAGUUGGACCUACUAUGUAUGUCUGGAAGACUCCAGUGGAAAUGUCCGGAGGAUGAAAUGGUUAGCAACGACAGCUAUUUUCCUUUCGCGCUGCAUACACAACCAGUGGAGAGGUUUCACCUCCAUUUUCCAUGCAUUUUUCAAACAAGAUCAAAAGAGUUCUCCUGAUCAACAUGUAUCUUUUAAUCAACACCACUAAAACAGAUCACCUUUUAUUCUUUGAGAAUAUGCUCCCCAUGCAAGUUAUCUGCUGCAUUUGCUGACAUUACAGCAGUGACUGCACCUUUUCUUAUUUUUAAAAAAAAACACCUAUUGUACUGCUGUAAAGAGCUUUCAACGUUCCGAGGUUGUGGAAAGUAUUCUUAAAAAAUUCAACUUUCUUCUGUACAGCUCCUAUGAUGUAUGCAAAGAAACUGAUGUUCAUUGUAAUGGUCAUGCAUUUUUUUUCCAUAUAAUGUUAAGGUUAAUGUUAACCGCUCUGGGUACUGGAGGAAUUUCACUAUAAUGAUGGAUUAGGAUGGUUUGAAUCACUUAUAAUUCAGCUCGAGUUUCCAAUGACUGGCCUUCACCAUGUGCAUUAACCUUAAAACCUUUUUGAGCUGAUAUUGCUGAAUGUGGGCCACAUUUUGUGUUUUUAUAUUCCAUUCCAUUAUAGGAGAAUUCUGAGUACUGAGAAUUCAUUUUGCCGGCAUCCUGAAGAAUAAUUUUUUUUCUAAAACAGUGCAGCGAAUUGAAAUAAUGAUGUCUAUCUGCUGAAGUGUUAAACACAUACAACAGAUUUACAGGAAAAAUAUUUUAACACUAAACAGGUCAAUAAAAAACCCUUCACUAUUUAAAAUUGGAUUUCAAUUAGACUUUGAACUUUUAAACAGGAUUAAAGAAAGGUAAAUGUUCUGUAACUAGAAGUCCUUUUAGAUCCAUUGGUCUGUGCUAAAUAAUUUUUUUUUGUUUCACACAGAUUGUUUUCUGAUUUCAAUUUACUGCGAUGUUAAAGGUAAAAAUAUAACAAUGUCUAUGGUAGCUUUACUACAGUAUUUUGUUUGUUCAUAUAAUCAUCUUAAACUUCUGACCCAAAAGUAUUAAUGGUUUCCGGUCAAUGGACAGGCAGGUUAGGUGUUCUGUUUAUUUAUUUUAAAAAAAUCAAGGCUGUCCUCUCCCCCACCACUGACUACAUGGGCAAGUGCGGCCAAGGGUUGCCUCUCUGCAUUGAGGCCCUUCCCUUUUUUUAUUCAUUUGUGUGACAUGGGUGUCAUUCGGUUGGCCAGGAUUUAUUGCCCUUCUAUAGCUGCACUUGAGAAGGUGAUGAGCUACCUCCUUGAACUGUUGCUGUCCACGUGCUCUAGGUUGACCCACAAUUCCCUUGGGGAA